rnacentral:lncRNA from 12 species
AUAACAAAUCCUUUUUUUCUUCUAAGUCUAAAUUGUGCUUAUCAUUUUUAUUUUUUUUAUUUUUAUUUUUUUUUUGUUUUUUUUUUUUUUUGCUUAUCAUUUUUUAAAAAAGAUUUUUAUUUAUUUAUCUGAGAGAGGGAGAGCACAGAGGGUGAGAGCACAGACUCCCCGCUGAGCAGCGAGCCCGACGCGGGACUGGAUCCCAGGACCCCGAGAUCACGACCUGAGCUGAAGGCAGAUACCCCCCCACCCCCUGCCUUAUUUCUUAAACUGUCCCCUCUGCACCUGCCAAACUGCUGUCCAGACAUCACAAUCCCUGCUCAUCCCAAGUGGCUUGACUUGGCUGCAGCCAACACCACCGUUUUGAAUUUCCUCCUGGCUGGUGGCACUUAGCUGGUGUAUCUUUUUUGUUUGCAAGCUUGAUUUUGUGGAUUUUGAAUUUUGUGAUAUAUUUUUCCACAAUUUAUUUUUAUUAAGUUAAACCAUUUGAAAUUACCAUUUUUUGUAGGUCAAAAAUAGUUGAACGUUGGCAAUUUCAUGACUUAACCUAACAUUUGGAGUGGCUGGGGGAGAAGGGGCUCUUCCCAGAUUCUUUAGCCGUACAAAAGUCUACAGCUCUGAUAGGAUUUAAAAUUUUUAAAUUUUUAUUAAAACAGUUUUUUCAAAGAUUUUAUUUAUUUAUUCAUGAGAGACACAUAGAGAGAGGCAGAGACACAGGCAGAGGGAGAAGCAGGCUCCAUGCAGGGAGCCCGACGUGGGACUCAAUCCCAGGUCUCCAGGAUCACACCCCGGGCCCAAGGAGGCGUUAAACCACUGAGCCACCUGGGCUGCCCAAAAUUUUUAAAUUUUUAAUGUAGUAUUUACCAUGUUGUAAAUUCAGAAUGGUACAAAAAGAAAGCAUAAAAAUGAAAAUGGGUCUUAAUUUCUGCUCUUAGAGCCAUUGAAACAAAAACAUAUACCUAUAUAGGAUUAGAAAAUUCAAACUGUACAUAAAGAAAGACUAUAUAUGUAUUUUUUUUAAUAGUGAAGGCAUCCCCAGUCUUGGCAAACAUGGUGUCCAUUUAUUCUGUGCUUCCUUUCAGGAAAACAAAGGCAGGGGUAGCUAUUAUGCACACUCCUCUGUGCCUCUUUUAAAUAAUUUAACAAACAUCCUGGUGAUCUUUGCACAUCAGCACAUAACUUUUGAGACUCAUUG